UGGCGGACGGGUGAGUAAUGCAUCGGAACGUACCGUGUAGUGGGGGAUAACGUAGCGAAAGUUACGCUAAUACCGCAUACGCCCCGAGGGGGAAAGUGGGGGACCGCAAGGCCUCACGCUAUAUGAGCGGCCGAUGUCGGAUUAGCUAGUUGGUGGGGUAAAGGCCUACCAAGGCGACGAUCCGUAGCGGGUCUGAGAGGAUGAUCCGCCACACUGGGACUGAGACACGGCCCAGACUCCUACGGGAGGCAGCAGUGGGGAAUUUUGGACAAUGGGCGCAAGCCUGAUCCAGCAAUGCCGCGUGCAGGACGAAGGCCUUCGGGUUGUAAACUGCUUUUGUACGGAACGAAAAGCCUUCUUCUAAUAAAGAAGGCUGAUGACGGUACCGUAAGAAUAAGCACCGGCUAACUACGUGCCAGCAGCCGCGGUAAU
rnacentral:rRNA from 1 species